UUUCAUUCUUUUAUACUUAAAAUUAAUUAGAAAAGAAGCAUACACAUUCCUGUCUUUCUUUUGGUUACUUCAGUAAAAAUGUCAGUGUUUCAGAAAAAUCAGUUCCUUCUUAUUUAUGGAAGAGUUUAUCAGAGCAUAAAAAUAUCUAUUGUUUAUAUUGCUGUAGAAUAUAUGUUGGUAACUUUCAUACACCAUUGAGAAAUGGUUCCAACCACUUGCAUUCUGGGUUUAUUCAUGAAACACAUAAAGUUACUGCUCUAUAUUUUCUCCUUUCUUCUCCAUAGGGGCAAAAGGACUAUAAAUUUACCAUCUGCUCUAAGACUUUCAUGCCAUAAAGACUGCAGUUAAAACUAUGGUAAUAGCUCAGUUCAGACAAGAAUGAUACCUUAAUUUUCAUUUCUUAUAGGUUUCCAACAAUGUCCAGAGAUUGUUUGAGUCCUGAGUAAGGAAAAACAAACAAAAUAAAACAAUGCAAGGUUGGAACUUCAAGCAUGGAAUGGCUGGAUUCUCUGCUCAGAAACUCAUGAUGCGGCUGAAACCAAGCAGGGGCCUACAUAGUCAUGAAAUGGGUAAAGUGGAGGUUGUACACAUGUGCACUGAAGUGUUUCAGUGGUGGACGCCUCAUCUGAGUAGGCAGCAUCCAGCCUUGUCAGGUACUCAUCCAGCUAAAGAUUGUGUUCUUGCAAAAGAGAACCUGCAACUUCUGUCUCACCAUCAUCAAUCCAGGUAUCUACCAUGUCUUGGAGCAAAGGUUAGAAGACCCUUGGGAUGUCCCUCUACUAUGGGUUGGAAUAGUGUGCCUGUGGCAAAGAGAGAUAACAGGUUUCGCUUUCCCAGACUCCAUCUCCAGCUAGAUUACAUCAAAUCUAUCCAGAGGCUGGCAGGAGGCAGAACCCUUUAG
rnacentral:lncRNA from 13 species